CAGUAGCCGCGGUAAUACAGAGGAUGCAAGCGUUAUCCGGAAUGAUUGGGUGUAAAGGGUGUGCAGACGGCUUAUUAAGUCACUUGUUAAAUUCUUCGGCCUAACUGAAGGUCUGCAAGUGAUACUGACGAGCUAGAGGGUGGAAGAGAGAAGUGGAAUUCUCGGAGUAGCGGUAAAAUGCGUAGAUCUCGAGAGGAACACCAAUGGCGAAGGCAGCUUCUUGGUCCAUUCCUGACGUUCAUACACGAAAGCGUGGGGAGCGAACAGGAUUAGAUACCCCAGUAGUCCCUGUCUCUUAUAC
rnacentral:rRNA from 1 species